GGAGGGGGCUAGCGUUGUUCGGAUUUACUGGGCGUAAAGGGCGCGUAGGCGGUAUGUCAUGUCAGGGGUGAAAGGCCUGGGCUCAACCCAGGAACUGCCUUUGAAACUGGCAAACUAGAGUCCGAUAGAGGAUGGCGGAAUUCCCAGUGUAGAGGUGAAAUUCGUAGAUAUUGGGAAGAACACCAGUGGCGAAGGCGGCCAUCUGGAUCGGCACUGACGCUGAGGCGCGAAAGCGUGGGGAGCAAACAGGGAUUAGAUACCCUGGUAGUCCACGCCGUAAACGAUGUGUGCCCAGACGUUGGGGGCCCUUAGGCCCUGGGUGUCGCAGCUAACGCAUUAAGCACACCGCCUGGGGAGUACGGCCGCAAGGUUA
rnacentral:rRNA from 1 species